CAUUGCCUGAUGGUAUCUGAUGCCGUGAUUGAGUCACUGUAUCUCGGCUUCUCGUUUGACAGGCAUAAAUUAAAUUUUACAGUUCUUGCGACACAGAUUGCUCUGUACCAUGAUCUUUCUGUUACUUUUAUCCCUGUUUACAUUU
rnacentral:snoRNA from 1 species